CCAACGCUGGUGUCUGUCUUUUCCAGUGGUUUCCAGUGACAGUGACAGUGACUCAGAUCUCAGCUCCUCCAGCCUAGAGGACAGACUCCCACCCAGCAGUCUCCCGGCACCUUCUGCCCGCACACCUGGAGCUCCACCAGCCCACCGUGAGCAUUCCCCAGGUGGCAGCAUGGAAUCCCCCAAGACGUCAGAGAGCCAGAGCAGCCUGGCCAGUGAGACAGGGACAAGCCCUGCAGACCUGCAUGUGGGCACCUCACUGUCACAGGACCCAAAGAGCCCUGGCAAGCGGCACACCUGGGCAGGUCCACGCUGCUGAUACCGCCCCCAGCAACCCCUCUGCCUGGCCUGGUGCCUGGAGCAGCCUGUCCAGUGGAGGAGUUGGAGAGAGGCCACAGGAGCUGGGCCCUCCCUGCCUUCCUUCUGCCCAGCGCUGACCUGCCCUGCAGGACGUGACCUCCGGCUCAGCACACUGCAGCUUUAGGGCUGAGCCUGCUCCCCCAACAGUGCCUUUCUGCCCCCUCUCCUCCCACCCACACCCAGCCGUCCCACCCCACCGUGACCUCUAUUUAUUGUUCUCCCUGCCCUCACCCUCUGUAUUUAUCUCCAGGCUGCCCCGCGGCUCAUCUUCAGUUGUCUUGUUCUAGCUGGGCAGCAGGGCCUCAGACUAAUCCUGUGGGGCCUUCCCACAUGCACUGCAGUUCCUCCCUGCAGCCCAGUGGUGGGAGCAGCAGCAGCCUCCCCUUCACCAGCCUGGGAGCUGCGCUUGAAAUCUGGCUUCUUGGAGCCCCUCCGCCAGCCUCCCCGAUUAGAUUAUCACUCGGUCUCCCCUCAGUUUACAGAGCUGGAAAGGGCUCUGGUGAACACUGUGAAUUAGCUUCCACUGGAGAGUGGCCCUCAGCUGAGUCCCAGCCAGAGGUGAAGCUGCCCAAAGCCAUUCACUCAGUCACUUCUUUCUCUUCAGGAGCUUUGGCUUGGCAGGAAGAAGGCUUAUUUCAAAAUGCAGACAGAUGCUUCUGGAAAACCCCCUCCCUGAAGAGAGAGAGAGAGAGAGAGUGUGUGUGUGUGCCUCUGUGUGUGCCUCUGUGUGUGUAUUGGUGUCACACCCACCCAUCCCCUGCCCCAUGUCCCUACCAGACCUAGUCCUGGAAGGGACCCCUCUCCAUCACUCAGCCCUUCCCCCACACACACCAUCAUUAGCUUUUUUUGUCCUUGCCAGUGGCAGACAAUUUAAAAAAACAAAAACACUGUUCCCCAUGAUAAGUUAUGCUUCAGAAUAGAAAAACAAUAAAGAUUAAAAUUUGCAUCGA